GGCACUUUGGCGGAGUGGUUAACGCGAUGCCCUGCUAUAAACGUAGCGUAGGCAUUCCCUUCGGGGGCGUGUGUUCGAAUCACACAGGUGUCG